UUGGAGGGCAAGUCUGGUGCCAGCAGCCGCGGUAAUUCCAGCUCCAAUAGCGUAUAUUAAAGUUGUUGCAGUUAAAAAGCUCGUAGUUGAAUUUCGGGACUAAUAUGUCGGUCGUACUUUGUACGUACUAGCAUUAUUGGUUUCUCCCUUCUGACGAACCACGAUGUCAUUAAUUUGGUGUCGUGGGAAAUCAGGACUGUUACUUUGAAAAAAUUAGAGUGUUUAAAGCAAGCUCGCGCUUGAAUACAUUAGCAUGGAAUAAUGAAAUAGGACGUUUGAUUCUAUUUUGUUGGUUUCUGGGAUCGACGUAAUGAUUAAUAGGGAUAGUUGGGGGCAUUAGUAUUCAAUUGUCAGAGGUGAAAUUCUUGGAUUUAUUGAAGACUAACUACUGCGAAAGCAUUUGCCAAGGAUGUUUUCAUUAAUCAAGAACGAAAGUUAGGGGAUCGAAGACGAUCAGAUACCGUCGUAGUCUUAACCAUAAACUAUGCCGACUAGGGAUCGGAUGAUGUUAAUUUUUUAAUGACUCAUUCGGCGCCUUACGGGAAAC
rnacentral:rRNA from 1 species